rnacentral:rRNA from 1 species
CAGAGGGUGCUAGCGUUGUUCGGAAUUACUGGGCGUAAAGCGCGCGCAGGCGGGCGUGCAAGUCGGAAGUGAAAUUCCGGGGCUCAACCCCGGAGCUGCUCCCGAAACUGCACGUCUGGAGACCGGUAGAGGCUGGUGGAAUUCCCGGUGUAGCGGUGGAAUGCGUAGAUAUCGGGAAGAACACCCGUGGCGAAGGCGGCCAGCUGGGCCGGUUCUGACGCUGAGGCGCGAAAGCGUGGGGAGCAAACAGGAUUAGAUACCCUGGUAGUCCACGCUGUAAACGAUGGGCACUAGGUGCCGGGGGGAGCGACCCCUUCGGUGCCGCAGCUAACGCGUUAAGUGCCCCGCCUGGGGAGUACGGCCGCAAGGCUG